GGAGGGAUGGCUCAGUGGUUAAGAGCACUGGCUGCUCUCCCAGGAGACCUGAGAUUGAUUUCCAGUACCUCCA
rnacentral:tRNA from 1 species